UCCACAGUAGCUCAGUGGUAGAGCUAUCGGCUGUUAACCGAUCGGUCGUAGGUUCGAGUCCUACAUGUGGAGCCA
rnacentral:tRNA from 2 species